rnacentral:lncRNA from 1 species
CGAGAUUGGGGGAGAACUGACCUUCAACGCAGGCUGGCUGGCUGGCUGGUGGGGGGGAGGGGGGGCGUUGGGGGAAGCCCCUAAGAGAAAUGCCUCUGACUGCUGGGGCCAACUAGUGCCAAGUGGCAUCUGCCUGGCAAGCCAGGCGGGGUGGCCAAAGGCUGAGGGCAGUUCGGGGAGCCCAGCCUGGCCGGCAGGGUCCACCAUUGGGGGUGAGGGGGCUGUUGGAGAGAGCAGCCGGCUGGGAGGGGGCGGAAGCAGCCGGACAGAGGAGCUUUGACCGGAAGGGUUGGGCCGGGGGCUCUCUUGGUUCUUCAAACUCCGGUGCUGAUCUCACAUUUUUAGAUGGCCGAGACCCCUGGCGGUGAGCCACUGGCGGCGCCCCGUGCUGCAGGCCUCCUCUGGGCCGGAGCCCAACAGGGAGGAUGCAGGAAGCCUCCAAGCGUCACCGUGAAGGAAGAAGAGGCGGAUCUCCCACCCGAGAAGACUCGGCCCCAUUUGCUUUGAGACGGAGCUCUUCAGGACAACGUGGCCUUCGCUCCUCUCCUCCUCCUCCUCUUUCCUCUUCGGAGCUUUGGCCUUGAAAUGCAGCUCUUGAAGGAGGGAGCCAAAGUCGGGGGACCAUCCCCAUCGCCGGGAGCUUAGCGGGGCAGAGCUAGAAACGGGGGGCAUUGGGGGGCGGAAUCGCCUGCCGGUGGCGUUACAAGCAAGGGAAGAGGCCUUCGAAGCCCCAGCCCCCCCUCCUGCCCACAGCUGCUGAAGGAGGAGGGGAAACGCUUCAACCAUCGCUGGGCAACCUGCAGAAUUGUCCGUUCCACGGAAUUCUCUACAGUAGUUCUGGGAAUUCUCUAGGCAAAGCUGGCUGGGGAAUUCUGGGAGUUGAAGUCCGCGAGGCUUAAAGUGGCCGAGGCUGGAGACCCCUGGCCUAGAUUAGCCUUUGGAAGAUCAUGUUCAUAUAAGUGGACUUCCAAUCCCCAGAAUUCUCCAGCCAGCAUGCAUUGAAGUCCCACGUCUUCAAGUUGACCACAUGCCUUAAGCUGCCGUGGUUGAGAAGCAUUAAAUGCAGAUUAUGGUGAUUGUUACAGUUGGAAAAGGGAAAAGUUCCUCUGAACUUUUAAACUACAAAUAGAAACCAUUUUUUUCCUGUAAGCAAUUAGGGAAGCUUUCCCCCCCCCCCUCUGCUUGUGGGCUUACAGUAUUCAGUGGCCUACAGUGGAUUUCUUCCACAGCGCUUGUUAUUUUGCUCUUAUAUCUGUUGUUUCAGUGUUCAUCUUUAUUAGGGUUACUUUGCACAAUUACUAUUUAAAAAAACAACCAAAAGGUUGUUUCUAAAACUCAAGACAAGGACUGUCAACUUGUAAAUGGUAUAUAAAUAAUAGGAUAAUAAAACAACUCACUGGA